rnacentral:rRNA from 1 species
CCUACGGGUGGCAGCAGUGGGGAAUAUUGCACAAUGUGGGGAACCCUGAUGCAGCGACGCCGCGUGAGUGAAGAAGGAUUUCGGUAUGUAAAGCUCUAUCAGCAGGGAAGAAAAUAACGGUACCUGACUAAGAAGCCCCGGCUAACGACGUGCCAGAAGCCGCGGUAAUACGUAGGUGGCAAGGGUUAUCCGGAGUUACUGGGUGUAAAGGGGAAGUAGACGGCAGAGCAAGUCGGAAGUUAAAGACCGGGGCCCAACCGCCGUACUGCUUGGGAAACUGCCUUGCUAGAGUGCUGGAGAGGUAUGCAGAAUUCGUAGUGUAGCGGUGAAAUGCGUAGAUAUUAGGAGGAACUCCAGUGGCGAAGGCGGCUUACUGGACAGUAACUGACGUUGAGGCUCGAAAGCGUGGGGAGCAAACAGGAUUAGAUACCCGGGUAGUC